AUGAAGAAAGCUCAGGAAAAACUUGGCGGCUUAGUUGGAAGGAACCCAGGAUUGUCAAAAGAUUUCAAUGAUAUAGUUGACUUUAGCUUCACUCCAGGAGAAUUUGAGACAAAAUGGACAAGCUUCAAGGAUAAGUGGCCUUUUAUUGCUGGAACCCACUUUGAUAAGCUGUAUGAGUACCGGGCAACAUGGGUGCCUUGUUACUUCAAACACCGGUAUUUCCCUUCUUGCAGUCUACCCAGCGAAGCGAAGGUUUUAAUGCAGUUCUUAAGCAUUAUUUGA
rnacentral:rRNA from 1 species